rnacentral:rRNA from 1 species
AUAGGUUUGGUCCCAGCCUUCCUGUUAACUUUCAAUAGACUUAUACAUGCAAGCAUCCACGCCCCGGUGAGUAACGCCCUUCGAAUCACACAGGACUAAAAGGAGCAGGUAUCAAGCACACACUCUUGUAGCUCACAACGCCUUGCUUAACCACACCCCCACGGGAGACAGCAGUAACAAAAAUUAAGCCAUAAACGAAAGUUGGACUAAGCCAUAUUGACCAGGGUUGGUAAAUCUCGUGCCAGCCACCGCGGUCAUACGAUUGACCCAAGCUAACAGGAGUACGGCGUAAAGCGUGUUAAAGCAUCAUACUAAAUAGAGUUAAAUUUUAAUUAAACUGUAAAAAGCCAUAAUUAUAACAAAAAUAAAUGACGAAAGUAACCCUACAAUAGCUGAUACACCAUAGCUAAGACCCAAACUGGGAUUAGAUACCCCACUAUGCUUAGCCCUAAACACAAAUAAUUAU